UUCUUUACAUUGAAAGAAGGUUCUUCAGAUUAUAAAAAGGUAAGAGAUCAUUCUUUAAAGUGCCCCUAUUAUGGAUUUUUUUUAAUAAUGACCUUUCAUGCAGUGUGUAACAGCUUUAAAUGAUCCUGCAAAAAGUAAAUUUGAAAGUGUACUGGGUUUAAAGUUACUGUCUCUUAAAAAAAAAAGAAUCAACUGAAUCGUUGAAACAAGUCAGUUUUACGAGUCCCAAUGUUGACAUGAAAAAAUGAAAUUGAACAAUUAGCAUAUUAAAAUACGGUAAAAAUAAAUGCACAUUAUAAUAAAAUAAAAAGUGUUAUUUGUCCUUGCAUUUAUGUCAACCUAUUGUUUGGCACUCACAAAAUAAAAUAUUUGAACGUUUCAUAACCCAUAAUAGUGGCACUUUAAAGAACCUUUGACUGAACGGUUCUUUGUGGGCCCAAAUCUGCUCUCCUAUGGCAUCAUUGUGAAGAACAUUUUAAGCACCUUUAUUUUAUUUAUUUAUGUAUUAUUUAUUAUUCAGUGUUUGCCACUUGCAAAAAUGAUUUUGCUUGAUGGUUCAUGUGCUUAAAACUCAUAAUUACAAUAUUUAUCUCCAUUUGUAGGGCACUACAGUUUCAAGUGAAGUUUUUAAACUUAAAAUUAAAUUGCAUUUAAUGGCUCACAAUCUUGUUGCAUUUCUAAAUCAAGCAGUGUAUAUGAACAAAUCGGAUCAGCUAAUGAUUAGAGACCAGAACUGACUGCUGUAAAAAACAUUCUUCAUCUGAGCCUUUAUCUUAACUCGUAUGACAUCCUCUCUCAUCAAAAGACCAGAAAAGCGUUCGGUAUAAAAGAACAGCUCAUUUUUAGGGCCGUCUAAAAGAGCAGUAUGCUUCCUGAUAGCCCGAGCCGUUUGAUUGCUCACACUGUGUGACUAUGGCAUUGUAAUGUGUGUGAUUGUGUGGGCCUGAACAGCAUACAUAAUGAAGACACAGUGUGGGUGUGUGAGACGGCAUGAGAGGAUCCAUGACACCUGCCACUGUGCCUCAAUCCCACGCUCUUUCUUUGCUCUUCUCUUAUGCACUCCUUCUUGUGAAUCGCAUUAUUUCCCAUCAAUCUAUCUUUCUUCCUUUUGGCUGCGCAAUCGUGUCGUUGCCCACUCAGAUACAGCUGCUUUUAUCCCAGCAGAGGGUCUCAGGCCAUCCGGCACCGUGUCCAGAUUCCCAAUAAAAUACAGACGCAAACAUUUGUGGAAAUAUUACCCGCAGCGAUGCGCUGUGAAAUGUACAUGCUAAGGAUAUGUUAAGUGACGUGCGGUCCUCUGCCUAAGCUUCUCGGCUUCGAGAUUGAUAUUAAUCAUGAAUCGCAAGAGGGCAGAAUAUUUGAGCCGAGUCUGAUCUGACACUACCAUCCCAUCAUCGAGAGACAGAAUAGCUUGGGGCUAAUACAGUACACUGUUACCCAGUGGACGGACGAAUGUAGCUUGAAGAAGCAAACAUACAUGAAACAUGACGGAAAGUCAUCUUCCUUUAAGAUUGCACUACGUGAUCUUUUUCGUGCUAUUACAGGGGUUAGAAGCUUUCGAGAUAAAAAAAAAAAGAAAAAUCACUGAAAAAUUACGUUUUGUAAAAUGAAUACUAUAACUCUGUGUAAGGAAAUAUACUGAAAUUGAAUUCACUGAGUCGAACUUGAAAUAUAUGUGUGUGUUUUUUAAUGAAGAAAUAAAGGAACACGUGAACUGGAUGAAAUCCAUAAAGACAAAUACUGAUAUGAAAAAAUACUGACUUUAAAGAAUGAUUUGUUUACAUGUUUGUUUCUCAUAAAGACAUAAAGUCACUCUUUUAUUUAUAAAUCAUAAUUGGAAAUUAUGAGAUAAAAAUCUAACUUAUGACAAACUAAGUAACAUUAUUUUAACAUAAACAGUCAGAAUUAUGACACCUAUAAAUAAUCUGGUGGAAAAAGACUUCCUUAUAGGUCAUUAUGAAAACAUUAAAAUGCGUCAUUAUUCACAGAAAAUCUUGACGAUCAUAACCUAAAAAGCUUUGUAUUAUUUUUGACACACUAUUUUGACACACUUCCCAGCUUUGUCACAAUCUGCAUUGGAAAAAGCACUAUAUGAAUAUUGGUGUCUUGACUCAGUAAAGAUUUAUUGGACCAGUUUAUUGUGAUUUUGCAGCCUUUACAAUAUAAGCUUAUUUCACCCAAAAAUUUGUGACAACAGUGAACAAUUUCUUGUAAUUAUGACUUUUUACAAGUGAAGGGACCCCAAAAAUAUAUCUUAUGUUUAAUGCUAAGUAUAAUACCAAGUAUUAAUGUAUUUAUUUUAUUUUAUUUUUAAAGAAAAAAAUAGCAACAGUUGCGUUCAAGUGUUUUCAAUAUAGGUGUCCUAUUGCAAGCCAGUGACUGUUGAGCUUGACGUUGCGUCGUAACGUAAGUCACGUAAUGACUCGAUCACGUUACGACUCACCUGGCGUGAGUGUGCGCUUCCAUCAAGAUCUAUCGUCGGGGGUCAUUCUUCAGACUGUUUAUUUACAGAAAUAUAAGGCCCAAAGUGUUUCGUGACGAUUCUUGUUUUGUUUUGUGUUACUAUUUAAAGUGCAUCUUUUUUUUUUUGAUUAAUCCCGCGAGUCAUUACUUAAUUACGCCGGUUAUCUUCAGGAACUGUGUUUGUGAAGUAACCAGAAUAGUUUGUUGCGUGAGGGACUGAACGGAGUCGUGUUCUUCGUCGCCGGAAGCGGAUCGGCUGCAUUCAUCGCGUGCUCCAGACGGAUCGUGACGGGACGAGGAGCGCUCGCGGUGUCAGGAACGUGGGAUUGAUUCACUGAUUUUCAUCGGAAGAACGUCUCUUUUCUGAAGCUCGGAUCUCUCUGCACAAGCUGGAGAAAGCCAAGAGACUGCUGAUCUUUGCAGGGGGAUUAGGUUGGUGUGAAACAAGGCUCCUUUAUCAGUCCCAGCUCUGCCACCCCUUAGACGCUCCGUAAUCCCUACAAAGAGAACCAAGAGAGGGAGACAAACAGACAUAUUCGGUAUCGUCUCAUACAUUCGCCAUUUAUCUCUCUGAGGCGGCGGUUUCCAUGGCAACACCGGGCAUUUGUUUGACGGACGGUGACUGGUUUAAUCCCCGCUGCCCUGCAUCAUCUCCCCAACGCCCCACCAUCUCUGACUGGCAGUGUGAAAAUUACAUUGAUUUCAU